CACACAUCAAACGGGCUUUUGGUCGACACAGUUGUGAAUAAUGAAGAAAUUGUGAAACUCCAUCAUGACCUCACAUCUGGUGCAGUGAAAUCACAAAGAAUGUUUUUACACAAGCAUCCGAAUUAUGCACCCACACUGAAAAAUCUGUGCAAACUACGUAUCUCAGUGUUUGACGAAGAACAGACUGAUGGAAUCAUUGACAAAGUAUUCAGUGUUUUGGCAUUGAAAAUAAAAGAUUAAUCAAGCGUUUCUUAUGUUACGGAAGUCAUGACACCUGAGAUAUCCAUUCUGAUUCUCAGAAAGACAGAGGGGUUCCACAGAUUCUAAGCGGAAAUGGCCUUUGUUGCUGGAUACUGUGUGGAAUAACAGUUUUAAGU
rnacentral:lncRNA from 1 species